rnacentral:rRNA from 1 species
AUUGAACGCUGGCGGCAUGCUUUACACAUGCAAGUCGAACGGUAACAGGCCUUCGGGUGCUGACGAGUGGCGAACGGGUGCGUAAUGCAUCGGAACGUACCCAGAGGUGGGGGAUAACGCAGCGAAAGCUGUGCUAAUACCGCAUGUGAUCUGAGGAUGAAAGCGGGGGACCGAGCAGCAAUGUUUGGCCUCGCGCCUUUGGAGCGGCCGAUGUCGGAUUAGCUAGUUGGUGGGGUAAAGGCCUACCAAGGCGACGAUCCGUAGCUGGUCUGAGAGGACGAACAGCCAGACGGGGAGUGAGACAGGGCCCAGACUCUUACGGGAGGCAGCAGUGGGGAAUUUUGGACAAUGGGCGCAAGCCUGAUCCAGCAAUGCCGCGGGCGGGAAGAAGGCCUUCGGGUGGGAAAGCGCUUUUGGCAGGAACGAAACGGUGUCCGCUAAUACCGGGCGCUAAUGACGGUACCUGCAGAAUAAGCACCGGCUAACUACGUG